rnacentral:rRNA from 1 species
AACGAACGCUGGCGGCAUGCCUAACACAUGCAAGUCGAACGAUGCCUUCGGGCUUAGUGGCGCACGGGUGCGUAACGCGUGGGAAUCUGCCCUUGGGUUCGGAAUAACAGUUAGAAAUGACUGCUAAUACCGGAUGAUGUCCCACUGAGAGAUAUUGGGGACCAAAGGUUUAUCGGCCAGGGAUGAGCCCGCGUAGGAAUAGGUAGGUGGUGGGGUAAAGGCCUACCAAGCCGACGAUCCUUAGCUGGUCUGAGAGGAUGAUCCGCCACACUGGGGCUGAGACGCAGCCCAGACUCCUACGGAAGGCAGCAGUGGGGAAUAUUGGACAAUGGGGGGAGCCCUGAUCCAGCAAUGCCGCGUGAGUGAUGAAGGCCUUAGGGUUGUAAAGCUCUUUUACCAGGGAUGAUAAUGACAGUACCUGGAGAAUAAGCUCCGGCUAACUCCGUG